GAGGCAGCACGGCCAGGGAGUACCACGAAAAAACUCCAAAACAGCCCAGGAGUUUGGAGCCAGCAUCCUGCCGCAUCCUGUCUCACCUGCAUGGGAGCGCCGCGCAGCCUCCUGAUGGGCACCUGGAUCCGCGGGAUUUGGGGUUCACCUAGGCGAACCUCCACCUAGGAACCAGUGGACAUGCAUCCCUCAAGAGCUUGAACUACAUCUGCAAUGGUACAGAGCCGAUGUGACAGUGCACACACCAUUUCCCCAGCUCCACCUCUGCUCAAACAGGCUGGAAAAGAACACGCAGCUACACAAAUACCUCAAGCUCCCAAAAAUGCCCCAUGAAGGGCUAAAGGAAUUUUAAAUGUAGCUGACUGCAUUACCUGAUAUUGGUUUGAUGCUUUUCCUCCAACUUUUGAAGUUUCCAUCACAAACUUAGAGAAAAUGUUGCCAAAAAAUAAAAGAGGAAAAAAAGGCA